rnacentral:rRNA from 1 species
CCUACGGGUGGCAGCAGUGAGGAAUAUUGGUCAAUGGACGAAAGUCUGAACCAGCCAUGUCGCGUGAAGGAAGACGGCCCUAUGAGUUGUAAACUGCUUUUGUAUGGGGAUAAAAGAAGAUAUGCGUAUCUGUUUGUAAGUAUCGUACGAAUAAGGAUCGGCUAACUCCGUGCCAGCAGCCGCGGUAAUACGGAGGAUCCGAGCGUUAUCCGGAUUUAUUGGGUUUAAAGGGUGCGUAGGUGGUCUGUUAAGUUAGUGGUGAAAGUUCGCGGCUCAACUUCGAAAUUGCCGUUGAAACUGUUCGUCUCGAGUAUAGUAGCGGUAGGCGGAAUUCGUGGUGUAGCGGUGAAAUGCUUAGAGAUCACACAGAACUCCGAUUGCGAAGGCAGCUUACCGGACUACAACUGACAUUGAGGCUCGAAAGCGUGGGUAGCAAACAGGAUUAGAUACCCCAGUAGUC